rnacentral:tRNA from 1 species
GAUGGUGUGGCUCAGUGGUAGAGCACUUGCCUCGCAUGCUGAGGAACUGGGUUUGAUCCUCAGCACCUCA